GGGGCAUUAGCUCAGCUGGUAGAGCGCCUGCUUUGCAAGCAGGAGGUCGCCGGUUCGAUCCCGGCAUGCUCCACCA
rnacentral:tRNA from 1 species